UACGAAGGGGGCUAGCGUUGUUCGGAAUUACUGGGCGUAAAGCGCGCGUAGGCGGUGAUCUUUGUCAGAGGUGAAAUCCCGAGGCUCAACUUCGGAAUUGCCUUUGAAACGGGAUCGCUAGAGUCCGAGAGAGGAUGGCGGAAUUCCUAGUGUAGAGGUGAAAUUCGUAGAUAUUAGGAAGAACACCGGUGGCGAAGGCGGCCAUCUGGCUCGGUACUGACGCUCAGGCGCGAAAGCGUGGGGAGCAAACAGG
rnacentral:rRNA from 1 species